GGCCACGUGGUGAAGAGGAAACACGGCUGUCUGCAAAACAGCUAUGCACCAGUUCGAUUCUGGUCGUGGCCUCCA
rnacentral:tRNA from 2 species